rnacentral:rRNA from 1 species
GAAUGGACGUCGACCGGCGCACGGGUGAGUAACGCGUAUCCAACCUUCCCGUUACUGCGGGAUAACCUGCCGAAAGGCAGACUAAUACCGCAUGUUCUUCGAUGACGGCAUCAGAUUCGAAGCAAAGAUCCGUCGGUAACGGAGGGGGAUGCGUCUGAUUAGCUUGUUGGCGGGGCGACGGCCCACCAAGGCGACGAUCAGUAGGGGUUCUGAGAGGAAGGUCCCCCACAUUGGAACUGAGACACGGUCCAAACUCCUACGGGAGGCAGCAGUGAGGAAUAUUGGUCAAUGGGCGGAAGCCUGAACCAGCCAAGUAGCGUGCAGGACGACGGCCCUACGGGUUGUAAACUGCUUUUAUGCGGGGAUAAAGUGAGGGACGUGUCCCUUUUUGCAGGUACCGCAUGAAUAAGGACCGGCUAAUUCCGUGCCAGCAGCCGCGGUAAUACGGAAGGUCCGGGCGUUAUCCGGAUUUAUUGGGUUUAAAGGGAGCGUAGGCCGGGGAUUAAGUGUGUUGUGAAAUGUAGGCGCCCAACGUCUGACUUGCAGCGCAUACUGGUUCCCUUGAGUACGCGCAACGCCGGCGGAAUUCGUCGUGUAGCGGUGAAAUGCUUAGAUAUGACGAAGAACCCCGAUUGCGAAG